rnacentral:rRNA from 1 species
CGGUGGAUGAUGUGGAUUAAUUCGAUGCAACGCGAAAACCUUACCUACCCUUGACAUGUCUGGAACCUUGGUGAGAGCCGAGGGUGCCUUCGGGAGCCAGAACACAGGUGCUGCAUGGGCUGUCGUCAGCUCGUGUCGUGAGAUGUUGGGUUAAGUCCCGCAACGAGCGCAACCCUUGUCAUUAGUUGCCAUCAUUUAGUUGGGCACUCUAAUGAGACUGCCGGUGACAAACCGGAGGAAGGUGGGAUGACGUCAAGUCCUCAUGGCCCUUAUGGGUAGGGCUUCACACGUCAUACAAUGGUCGGUACAGAGGGUUGCCAAGCCGCGAGGCGGAGCCAAUCCAGCAAAACUUCCCUCAGUUCAGAUUGCAGGCUGCAACUCGCCUGCAUGAAGUUGGAGUUGCUAGUAAACGCAGGUCAGCCAUACUGCGUUGAAUACGUUCCCGGGGGCUU